rnacentral:lncRNA from 1 species
AAGUGCAGGUUGAUCAAUCAGUCUAUGCACACACAAAUUCUUGUUCUUCAAGCAACCCUCAAAGAAUGAUCACUUCGGUCUUCUUAAUGAGUUCUUGGAGCUUUGGCACGUUCUGCAAGAGAUCACAAAUCUGAAAAGAAUCAAUUAACUUGUAAGAAUCACAAAAGUCUCUGUAGAAAUCAAAAUCGCGUCUAUAUAUAGUUUUUCACAAAAUUGACGCUCAUAAGUCGACUAUACUCAGACAGUUAUAACAGUUAGCAGCAGUCAGACCAACUUAAUUGAUUACGCAUUUAAUACACUUGACUCACGAUUAUUUCUUGGUCAAAGAUAUAAAAUAUAGUCGUUAUACAUCACAAGCAUUAACAGAACUUCAAAACAUAACUAACUAAGUCGAGUAACUUGCGCAUAUAGUCGACUUUUUAACACCUUAAUGCAG